rnacentral:rRNA from 1 species
GAUGAACGCUAGCGGGAGGCUUAAUACAUGCAAGUCGAGCGGUAGAGCGGCUUCGGUUGCUCGAGAGCGGCGCACGGGUGAGUAACGCGUACGCAACUUACCUCCAAGCGGGGCAUAGCCCCGGGAAACUGGGAUUAAUACCCCAUAGUUUGCAUUGGCUGCAUGGUCAGUGCAAUAAAGUUGAGGCGCUUGGAGAUAGGCGUGCGUCUGAUUAGGUAGUUGGUAGGGUAACGGCCUACCAAGCCGACGAUCAGUAGGGGGCGGUGAGAGCGUGGCCCCCCACCACGGGUACGUGAGACACGGACCCGGA